UAUGGAUGGAGGUGUAACCCGAUG
rnacentral:miRNA from 2 species